GGAGAAUUAGGUUAAGUUGAUUAAUUACAGUAGAGAUUUCAUAAGGUGUGGGGAUGAUGAUGAGAGAUGGUGCAGAGGGAACAGAACAGAUUCCUUGCUUGCUUUGGUUUUUCUUUCAUAAAGGAGGGUAAUACAUGCAGUGCAUUACAAGUAAAGAUGCCAUGAAAUAUCACCAACAAAACUGAACAAACAAUAGCAUUAGAAGACACCAAAACAAACAACUUGAAGCGUGGACAGAUCCUUAUGCUGUUUCAAGAGAAAGGAGACGUGUGACUUGUUAAUAGUCCAGCCAGAAUAGGACAAUGAAUGCAGUAAUAAAAAACUGUUGAUCUACAGGAUACGGAUACUUACAAAAUUGAGGUCAUAAUCUUUAAUGGCUAGAAACGGA